GGGCGUAAGAGCUCGUAGGCGGUUUGUCGCGUCUGUCGUGAAAGUCCGGGGCUUAACCCCGGAUCUGCGGUGGGUACGGGCAGACUAGAGUGCAGUAGGGGAGACUGGAAUUCCUGGUGUAGCGGUGGAAUGCGCAGAUAUCAGGAGGAACACCGAUGGCGAAGGCAGGUCUCUGGGCUGUAACUGACGCUGAGGAGCGAAAGCAUGGGGAGCGAACAGGAUUAGAUACCCUGGUAGUCCAUGCCGUAAACGUUGGGCACUAGGUGUGGGGACCAUUCCACGGUUUCCGCGCCGCAGCUAACGCAUUAAGUGCCCCGCCUGGGGAGUACGGCCGCAAGGCUAAAACUCAAAGGAAUUGACGGGGGCCCGCACAAGCGGCGGAGCAUGCGGAUUAAUUCGAUGCAACGCGAAGAACCUUACCAAGGCUUGACAUGUUCUCGAUCGCCGUAGAGAUACGGUUUCCCCUUUGGGGCGGGUUCACAGGUGGUGCAUGGUUGUCGUCAGCUCGUGUCGUGAGAUGUUGGGUUAAGUCCCGCAACGAGCGCAACCCUCGUUCCAUGUUGCCAGCACGUAAUGGUGGGGACUCAUGGGAGACUGCCGGGGUCAACUCGGAGGAAGGUGAGGACGACGUCAAAUCAUCAUGCCCCUUAUGUCUUGGGCUUCACGCAUGCUACAAUGGCCGGUACAAUGGGUUGCGAUACUGUGAGGUGGAGCUAAUCCCAAAAAGCCGGUCUCAGUUCGGAUUGGGGUCUGCAACUCGACCCCAUGAAGUCGGAGUCGCUAGUAAUCGCAGAUCAGCAACGCUGCGGUGAAUACGUUCCCGGGCCUUGUACACACCGCCCGUCAAGUCACGAAAGUCGGUAACACCCGAAGCCGGUGGCC
rnacentral:rRNA from 1 species